rnacentral:rRNA from 1 species
GAUGAACGCUGGCGGCGUGCCUAAUACAUGCAAGUCGAGCGAACGGACGAGAAGCUUGCUUCUCUGAUGUUAGCGGCGGACGGGUGAGUAACACGUGGAUAACCUACCUAUAAGACUGGGAUAACUUCGGGAAACCGGAGCUAAUACCGGAUAAUAUUUUGAACCGCAUGGUUCAAAAGUGAAAGACGGUCUUGCUGUCACUUAUAGAUGGAUCCGCGCUGCAUUAGCUAGUUGGUAAGGUAACGGCUUACCAAGGCGACGAUGCAUAGCCGACCUGAGAGGGUGAUCGGCCACACUGGAACUGAGACACGGUCCAGACUCCUACGGGAGGCAGCAGUAGGGAAUCUUCCGCAAUGGGCGAAAGCCUGACGGAGCAACGCCGCGUGAGUGAUGAAGGUCUUCGGAUCGUAAAACUCUGUUAUUAGGGAAGAACAUAUGUGUAAGUAACUGUGCACAUCUUGACGGUACCUAAUCAGAAAGCCACGGCUAACUACGUGCCGGCAGCCGCGGUAAUACGUAGGUGGCAAGCGUUAUCCGGAAUUAUUGGGCGUAAAGCGCGCGUAGGCGGUUUUUUAAGUCUGAUGUGAAAGCCCACGGCUCAACCGUGGAGGGUCAUUGGAAACUGGAAAACUUGAGUGCAGAAGAGGAAAGUGGAAUUCCAUGUGUAGCGGUGAAAUGCGCAGAGAUAUGGAGGAACACCAGUGGCGAAGGCGACUUUCUGGUCUGUAACUGACGCUGAUGUGCGAAAGCGUGGGGAUCAAACAGGAUUAGAUACCCUGGUAGUCCACGCCGUAAACGAUGAGUGCUAAGUGUUAGGGGGUUUCCGCCCCUUAGUGCUGCAGCUAACGCAUUAAGCACUCCGCCUGGGGAGUACGACCGCAAGGUUGAAACUCAAAGGAAUUGACGGGGACCCGCACAAGCGGUGGAGCAUGUGGUUUAAUUCGAAGCAACGCGAAGAACCUUACCAAAUCUUGACAUCCUUUGACAACUCUAGAGAUAGAGCUUUCCCCUUCGGGGGACAAAGUGACAGGUGGUGCAUGGUUGUCGUCAGCUCGUGUCGUGAGAUGUUGGGUUAAGUCCCGCAACGAGCGCAACCCUUAAGCUUAGUUGCCAUCAUUAAGUUGGGCACUCUAAGUUGACUGCCGGUGACAAACCGGAGGAAGGUGGGGAUGACGUCAAAUCAUCAUGCCCCUUAUGAUUUGGGCUACACACGUGCUACAAUGGACAAUACAAAGGGCAGCGAAACCGCGAGGUCAAGCAAAUCCCAUAAAGUUGUUCUCAGUUCGGAUUGUAGUCUGCAACUCGACUACAUGAAGCUGGAAUCGCUAGUAAUCGUAGAUCAGCAUGCUACGGUGAAUACGUUCCCGGGUCU